rnacentral:lncRNA from 1 species
CGCUGGCCAGCCGGGCUCUGGGCUCCCCGGUCCAGCCCGCGCCCUCCCCGCGGCCAGAGGCGCCACGGCGACCUGGGCGCGCCCUUCGGCCCGCCCCCGACCAGCGGUGGCGGAGGGAGCGAAGGAUGAAGGUGAAGCCCGUGGCAGUUUGAAAGGCAGAUGCAAUGUUCUCUGCUCUGCGAUCCCUGCUGUCAAGAGUCUGCUGUGGCAUUUUGAUGAGUGAAAAAGAGAAGAUGCUAUUUUGCUGCACUUAUUCACAUACACCGUGCAUCGCCAGCUUCCAGCACUGGAAAACUGCAGGCUCUUCCUCAAACCCACUACAGCAUAAUCCCCUGAUAGGCGUGGAACAGAGCUAAAAAUUUGUCAAUCUGAAAGGUAUAUUUUUAAAAAAUCAUGUACAUUCAAUGAAAUUAAAAUUUCCUAUAUAGAAAGAGAUUUGGUCUUUAUUUUAUUUUUUUUCAAAAUAUAAAUAAAAUUCCGUUGGGUCCGAGUUCCUGCCUCA